CUUGCCCUUCCGGUCACAGCACAAGCUCGUUAGAAACCCAUAAAUACGCAAUGCGUGAAUAAAUACAGUUAGAACAAGGCAUCAGGGACAGGCGCAUGCUCCAAGCCAAAGUGUGAUGGACCCACCAGCUGCCGGUCAAACAAGUCAAUCCAAGCCCAAUCUGCUCGUACACAAAGCAAAUUUAAGAGGAUGCGGCUAGAGCUUCCGGGGCCGGUCCCACUCUCGCUCCGCAGUGGCCCGCUUUCUCUGUUGCGUGAACCGUCCCAAGGCUGCUCAGCGAACGUACAGAAUCCAAAUGACCACGAAGCGCCCCGGAGUCGGAGCCCUCGCAUCCUCCAGCCGCUCCGGUCUGUUCUGGGUCUUGCCAGCCACCUCCACCCGGCGCUGCCUCUAAGUCUUGCCGUGUCCCAGGUCUCACCUCCCGGGUCCCCUCGAUAGAGGGACCCCCUCUGACUCCUCCCGGUUACGCUGUGUGAUCUCAUCUGUGGUCUUCUUUCCAGGGCUUCUCAAAUUCUGCAACUUUCUUGUUUAUUCAAUGAAACAAGCAUACAUCGGUUUAUGGUCUACCUACCCAUGAGGUGUAAACCUCACUCUGUCCAGUGCAGCUCACUCUGUCCAGCUUGUCUAAAAGUCACCUGCUUUUAUUCAUCCGGAGCUUAAUGAACGCUCGUCGGAUGAAUAGGUAGACCUCUAGAUGUCUUAUAGUAAUAGCUCGUAGAUCUGGUUGGACGCACAUAAGCCAUUUUACAGAUCUUUUGAAAACUAUGGACUCCUCACCCUCUAGAAAAAUGACGCUGCGCACUACAGUUAUAACACCAAGGGGUUCCCGAUCCCUCAAUACUCUUGCUGUCUGUAGCGAUGUUAGGUUUGCUUAAAAUAGCAGGAACAGAAAAUCUUUUCCUCUAAGGACAUGAGUUUCAUCCAGAAACUGAGAGUGGAAGUUCUGGCCAAAUAUUUGUCCAGUUCCCAAUGUAUUCAGAGCCUUUGAAACAAAUACAGCUAUCCCUAGAAGCUCAGAGUGUUUCUCUGGUCCUGAGCUAUUGGUUCAGGCUACAGCUUGAAAAACUGUAAGUCUGCGGCUGUGCCUGUCGGAGGCCCUACCUGCCCCCACUGAAGGAGACACACACACACAGGCCUUCUGAGCUCUGAGAGCUAGUGCACAGAAGUAACAUUCCGUGCUUGUACGUGUGCUGUGGCAUCGAAGUGUGGUGCCCAGGACAGUUCCGUAACUGGUGACCUCGUACAAGCAAAGCUUGUGUAAAAAGCCUCUGUACGCUCAUCUAUGCAUAUGCUAGGGCUUCCUGGGGACCUAGACCAAUCAAGGCUCAGCAUGCUAAGAACAAGGAGACAAUAGUUCGAAAGCAUGUCUUUGCUAGAAAUCUAAGAAGUAGAAUCACACACACAGCAGAUGCGUGGAAAUAUGUUGUAGGUCAGCAGGAAUGCACAAGCAGGCUUUUCUGCUCUACGAGAUCUGUAUACUUUCAAAUUUCAAAUUUCAUUUCAUUUCAAAUUUAUAGUUGGUUUAUAGCCCAGCAUAUGGUCAAUUUUUGUAAAUAUUCCAUGUGUGCUUUAAAAUAAUAUGUAUUCUGCAGUUGUUAGGUGUUCUAUAUAUGUCUGCUAGGUCUAAUUUGAUAACUGUGCUGAUUAAAUCUCAUAUGCCAUUA